rnacentral:rRNA from 1 species
UACGUAGGGUGCAAGCGUUAAUCGGAAUUAUUGGGCGUAAAGGGUGCGUAGGCGGUCUGACAAGUCUGAUGUGAAAUCUAUGGGCUCAACCCAUAGCCUGCAUCGGAAACUGUCGGGCUUGAGUAUGGAAGAGGCGAGUGGAAUUCCUGGUGUAGCGGUGAAAUGCGCAGAUAUCAGGAAGAACACCCGUGGCGAAGGCGGCUCUCUGGGCAUGACCUGACGCUGAGGAGCGAAAGCAUGGGGAGCGAACAGG